AUCAGAGCUUGUUGAACUCUGACAUGGAUCUCAGUUUGGUGGAAAUCCUGAGGGGUUUUUUUUUAAGUGGCAGCAAUGAACAAAUCUGCUUUGGAUUUCAUUGUGAUGGAAAAGCAUGAACCCACAGGAAGAAGGAGAGUGACUUCUACUGGAUCACUUACUAUGUGGUUCUUAAAGACAAUGCAGGAAAGGUAAAUCUUUAAAGUCACCGCUGGCCCAAAAUUGGAACCUGAAGAGUGAGCCAAAGGGCUCUGAGCUCAAACAGCUUGGACAAUGGGAAGAAGAUCUGCUAAGCAAGUGAGACAAUGAGCAACCUGCCUGGCUCUCAAGACCUUUCCUGUUUGCUUCCAUUGCACUUUGGUAAAUUUAAGCCGCUUGGUAAUUUUAGCCACUUUGUGUGCCCACUGGGCUGAUAAGUGGCAUACAUGUACUUAAAUAAAUAUGUUUAUGUCAACAAAAGUUGGAUCUCGU